GCUCAGAACUUAAAGGAAUUGACGGGGCCCGCGACAAGCGGUGGAGCAUGUGGUUUAAUUCGAUGAUACGCGAGGAACCUUACCUGGGCUCAAAUGUAUGUUGACGUAUUCUGAAAGGGAUACUUCUUCGGACAAUAUACAAGGUGCUGCAUGGUUGUCGUCAGCUCGUGCCGUGAGGUGUCGGGUUAAGUCCCAUAACGAGCGCAACCCCUAUCAUUAGUUGCCAUCAGGUCAAGCUGGGGACUCUAAUGAAACUGCCUACGCAAGUAGUGAGGAAGGUGGGGAUGACGUCAAAUCAGCACGGCCCUUACGUCCAGGGCUACACACGUGCUACAAUGGCCGGUACAAAGGGCAGCUACCUGGUGACAGGAUGCUAAUCUCAAAAGCCGGUCUCAGUUCGGAUCGGAGUCUGCAACUCGACUGCGUGAAGUCGGAAUCGCUAGUAAUCGUGAAUCAGAAUGUCACGGUGAAUACGUUCCCGGGCCUU
rnacentral:rRNA from 1 species